rnacentral:rRNA from 1 species
UACGAGGGGGGCAAGCGUUGUUCGGAAUUACUGGGCGUAAAGAGUGUGUAGGCGGUGCUCCAAGUCUGGUGUGAAAUCUCCCGGCUUAGCUGGGAGGGUGCAUUAGAAACUGGAAUGCUAGAGGAUGGGAGAGGUAAGCGGAAUUCCUGGUGUAGCGGUGAAAUGCGUAGAUAUCAGGAGGAACACCUGUGGUGUAGACAGCUUACUGGACCAUUUCUGACGCUGAGACACGAAAGCGUGGGUAGCAAACAGG